AGGACGAACGCUGGCGGCGUGCCUAACACAUGCAAGUGGAGCGACGAACCAGGCUUCGGCCUGGGGCAGAGCCGCGAACGGGUGAGUAACACGUGGGUAACCUGCCCUGAUGAUUGGGACAACCCGAGGAAACUCGGGCUAAUACCGAAUGUGCCCUCCGGCCUCAAGGCCGUUGGGGAAAGGAAGCUUCGGCCUCCGCAUCGGGAUGGGCCCGCGGCCCAUUAGCUUGUUGGUGAGGUAACGGCUCACCAAGGCAACGAUGGGUAGCUGGUCUGAGAGGACGAUCAGCCACACUGGGACUGAGACACGGCCCAGACUCCUACGGGAGGCAGCAGUGGGGAAUCUUGCGCAAUGCGCGAAAGCGUGACGCAGCAACGCCGCGUGGGGGAAGAAGGCUUUCGGGUUGUAAACCCCUUUCAGUUGGGACGAAGCUUCUCCGGUGAAUAGCCGGACGGAGUGACGGUACCUUCACAAGAAGCACCGGCUAACUACGUGCCAGCAGCCGCGGUAAUCGUGA
rnacentral:rRNA from 1 species